rnacentral:rRNA from 2 species
UACAGAGGUCCCAAGCGUUGUUCGGAUUCACUGGGCGUAAAGGGUGCGUAGGUGGUGAGGUAAGUCGGAUGUGAAAGCUCCGAGCUCAACUCGGAAAUGGCAUUGGAAACUACCUUGCUGGAGGUUUGGAGGGGGGACUGGAAUACUUGGUGUAGCAGUGAAAUGCGUAGAUAUCAAGUAGAACACCAGUGGCGAAGGCGAGUCCCUGGACAACACCUGACACUGAGGCACGAAAGCUAGGGGAGCAAACAGG